ACAACGCGAAAAACCUUACCUACCCUUGGCAUGUCACUAACGAAGUAGAGAUACAUUAGGUGCUCGUAAGAGAAAGUGAACACAGGUGCUGCAUGGCUGUCGUCAGCUCGUGUCGUGAGAUGUUGGGUUAAGUCCCGCAACGAGCGCAACCCUUGUCUUUAGUUGCUACGCAAGAGCACUCUAAAGAGACUGCCGGUGACAAACCGGAGGAAGGUGGGGAUGACGUCAAGUCCUCAUGGCCCUUAUGGGUAGGGCUUCACACGUCAUACAAUGGUGCAUACAGAGGGUUGCCAACCCGCGAGGGGGAGCUAAUCUCAGAAAAUGCAUCGUAGUCCGGAUCGUAGUCUGCAACUCGACUACGUGAAGCUGGAAUCGCUAGUAAUCGCGGAUCAGAAUGUCGCGGUGAAUACGUUCCCGGGUCUUGUACACACCGCCCGUCAUACCAUGGGAGUGGGUUUUGCCAGAAGCCGUUAGCCUAACCGCAAGGAGGGCGACUGCCACGGCAGGGUUCAUGACUGGGGUAAAGUCGUAACAAGGUA
rnacentral:rRNA from 1 species